ACAUGCAACAGCAUGCCAGGCAGCAGAUGUCAGCAAUGACUACAACCCUUGCUCUGCAAUCGAAUCACAGCAGAAAUACUAAAAGUAUUUGACUCUCCUCUCUGAUGAAACUGAUAAAUGUGCUUGAUGAAAUCUGGGAGGGCAGAGAGGAAAAGGCUUUUUGAAUAACAGAAAUAAGACACCAUGAGUAGGAUACACUGAAAAGGUCAUCUCACUGACUUCAUCAACUGGAGAGAACUCGUGCUUUCCUUCAUCACAGCAAAAAUCAUUUCCUGUGUGAUACAACCCACCAGUAAGUACACACAGCUUAUAGAAGCAGACAAAUUCUGUUUGAUAAAUAAAAGAGUAGGUAAACUAUUUUCCUUUAAACUAUACUCUUGGUCUACAAGAUGAGUCAAGAGUACAGGAUGAAUCAAGAGAGCGAGAAAGAGAGCGAGAAAGAGAGAAAGAGAGCGAGAAAGAGAGAAAGAGAGAAAGAGAGAGAGAGAAAGAGAAAGAGAGAAAGAGAGAAAGAGAGAGAGAGAAAGAGAAAGAGAGAAAGAGAGAAAGAGAGAAAGAGAGAAAGAAAAAGAGAGAAAGAGAGAAAGAGAGAAAGAGAGGAGAAAGAGAGAGAAAGAGAGAAAGAGAGAAAGAGAGAAAGAGAGAAAGAGAAAGAGAGAAAGAGAGAAAGAGAGAAAGAGAGAAAGAUAAAGAGAGAGAAAGAGAGAGGAGAGAAAAAGAGAAAGAAAGGAAGAGAGAGAGAAAGAGAGAGAGAGAAAGAAGAAAAAGAAAGAAAAAGAAAGAAAGGAAGAAAGGAAGAAAAGAAGAAAGAAAGAGAAAGAAAAAGAAAGAAAGAAAGAAAGGAAAAAGAAAGAAAGAAAGAAAGAAAGAAAGAAAGAAAGAAAGAAAGAAAGAAAGAAAGAAAGAAAGAAAGAAAAAGAAAAGAAGGAAAGAAGGAAGGAAGGAAGGAAGGAAGGAAAGAAGGAAGGAAGGAAGAAAAUAUCUUGAUCCAAAAAUAUUAGCUACACCAAAACAAGUUUUCCUGAAACUUUUAUGAUGAAAGGAGACUCCUGCAGUUCAUUUCUCACCACAGUACACAUUUAAUAUUGAUGCAUCUCUUUACAAAACUGCUGUUAUCUGCACUUGAGAGCAUAAUUUUCAGCUGUAUUUUAAUGUGGAUUUUCUCACGUUUGCAAUCCUUAAUUUAUACAUAAUAUUCAUUUUGUAGCAUUUCUCCAAGAGCCAGACUGUUGAGAAAUUAUUCUUUUCUGCUGCUUUCUGUCUGAUUAGAAUUCCAGCUACCCAUCAUUUACAGCCUCUCCCCUACAGAGGGCACCUUUGCCUUAUUGGAAUUGCUUCUACAAAAGAGAUCCUCGGUGGUUAUCAGAGAAAUAACUGAGCCUUAAAAAGAGAUCAGAUUUUUCACAGAUGCAAGGACCUUGUUUGCCUAGUCUUUUCAAUUAGCCACGUUUUGUACUACAAUUCAUAAAUGAGUAAUAGCAAUGUUACAUUCUAUGCUAUUACAGUCUCCACCAAGAAGAGGUGAGAUGAACUGGAGACUGCUGGGUUUACUUCAGAGGCCAAUGAGAUGAAAGCGUGAGCAUAAGUUUUUGUUUGUUUGUUUGUCUGCUUUGUUUUUCCACCAGUAAUUAUGGGUUUUGUCAUUAAAAUCUUUCCAAGUUGCACAGUAAAAACAUUGGCCAUGGGAAAAAAGUCACAGACAGAAAGUCAACCAUCUCCCAAAUAAAUCUUACUAACAGACCUUCAAUUAAUAACUGUUAUCUGAAAGCUGUUCAAGUGGAAUAAAAUAAGGUUUUACUUUCUUUUGUAGAGUUAAGCCUUCAAAACUGAUUCUAAAAUUCUUAUUUGUGGAAAAAAAUCAAUUGACUGCAAGACUGAGCCCCAAACUAAUUUUCUUCCUGAUUUUGUUGGUGUGCUAUUAUUUAUGAAGUGUCAUGUAUAUCAUUCAUAGUAUCUGCUAGUUCUGAAUAAAAUUAGCAAUACAUUUAUGUUCAAUAUUGUUUUUUCAGCUCAAUCUGUAAAACAGGCUUCCUUUACAGGCCAUUUCACUAAUGUGUUAAGACAGAUGCAAACGUCAUUGAUUUGUAAAUGGCAAAGUGAAAAUUCUGAAGAAUAAAGAAAAAUCUUUUCUCUGUCA